GGCUUCAUAGUUCAGUUACGACAACAUCGCACCGGGAACGCGGAGGUCAUGGGUUCAAAUCCCGUCGAAGCCC